ensembl:lncRNA
CCAGGCUGUGGUGACGGGCCGGGCGGGAGUGGCUCCCACAGCCAGGGAGCUGCGUUGGGUGGGAGUGAGGAGUAAAUCCUUCCCUGUGAGGGUGCUGAGGAGCCGGGGCAGCCGCGGCAGUGCUCGAGGCCGGCCGGGCGGGUUCGGUCGCUGGGCUUUGCUCCCCGGCUUUGCUCCCUGCUGUGCUCCCUGGCUGAGCUCACCUGGCCGCAGGUGCCCACGGCACGUCCCGCCGCAGGUCCUCCUCCAUCAUCUCCGCCUGCAGCUCGAAGGCGUGCGCCAGGGUCUGCAGGCUGCAGUCCAGCUGCGCGAAGCGAGCCUCCAGGGACAGCAGCCUGCUUUCUACUCUGGGCGGUGGAAAACAAGAGUAAGGGAAUUUCAGAAGGAUCUUGGGCUUUCUGUCACGACAUUGCAUUGUGAACAGCUUCAGACCCCCUUCUAGGGGCCCUCCCAAGAUUUCUGGGAACACCACUAAAAGUCAAGCUGACCUGAAUGAAGAGAAAAUAAAAAUACCUCAACAGUGGCAUGUUUUACUAAGUAUCGCCGACCUUAAUUCAUUGUCUGGCCGCUUGUGCAGAUCCUUGUCUAAGGAUUUUCUGUUGUUUCCUGAGGCUAGAGGCUUCCUCUGCAGCCUGGUGGGGCUCAUCUUACUGUGGCAGGACUCCUCUGGCUUCAGCAAGAAUUUUGGGAUGAAAAUAAAACUUUUAUUGGAAACUAAGCUGGUGUCAUAUAGAAAUGCAGGGAGUUCAGAAAAACCGGAAGGAUUGAUGUGUCAUAAUUGGAUCGAAUCUGUCAGCACUGAGAGAGGAAGUGCAGAAACUGAGGUGAGUUGUUUCACUGUUUCUCCCUCUGGUCAGGUCUCCAAUAGCUACUUUUGUGUUCACCAUCGUGUGAAUCAGAGUUAAGAAGGCUGUGGAUGAACUAACAGUUAUGAGCAGUACCUCGACAAGAGCAGUUUCUUUCCAAGUCUGUCAGCUGUCUGUCAACACAUAAUCACUCAUUUCCUAAGCAGAAGUACUGCAUCCCAUCAGCUGUGAUACUCUCGACAGGGAUCCUUUUCACUGCAGACUCUGAGGCAUGAUCUUAAAAUCAGAAGUUCACCUGAAAUCUCUAAUUAGAACAGCAAGCCUGAAUUUAACAGAACCACAGAAUAUGCUGAGUUGGAUUCACAAGGAUCCAACUCCUGGCCCUGCACUCCUGUCCUCCCCAGCAAUCCCACCCUGUGCCUGAGAGCAUUGUCUGAAUGCUUCUUGAGCUCUGGGAGCUUUGGUGCUGUGACAUUCCCUGAGAAGCCUCUUCAGUGCCUGACCACGCUCUGGGAGAAGAACGCUUUCCUAAUAUCCAACCAAAACCUCCCCUUAUACAACUUAAGGCCAUUCCUUCAGGUCCUGUCACUGGGCACCACAGAGAUCAGUGUCUGUCCCUUCUCCCCCCUCAUGAAGAAGUUGUAAACCUCAACGAGGUCUCCCCUCAGUCUCCUCCAUGCUGAAUAGACCAAGUGCCCUCAUUGCCUGGUGACAAUUCAUGCAGCUGCAGGCCACAGAUGAUGGAGCAACUGCCCAAAUCCUGCAGCAAACUGC